rnacentral:rRNA from 1 species
UGAUCUAGCCAUGCCGCGUGAGUGAUGAAGGCCUUAGGGUCGUAAAGCUCUUUCGCCUGUGAUGAUAAUGACAGUAGCAGGUAAAGAAACCCCGGCUAACUCCGUGCCAGCAGCCGCGGUAAUACGGAGGGGGUUAGCGUUGUUCGGAAUUACUGGGCGUAAAGCGCGCGUAGGCGGAUUAGAAAGUUGGGGGUGAAAUCCCGGGGCUCAACCUCGGAACUGCCUCCAAAACUGCUAGUCUAGAGUUCGAGAGAGGUGAGUGGAAUUCCGAGUGUAGAGGUGAAAUUCGUAGAUAUUCGGAGGAACACCAGUGGCGAAGGCGGCUCACUGGCUCGAUACUGACGCUGAGGUGCGAAAGUGUGGGGAGCAAACAGGAUUAGAUACCCUGGUAGUCCACACCGUAAACGAUGAAUGCCAGUCGUCGGGUAGUAUACUAUUCGGUGACACACCUAACGGAUUAAGCAUUCCGCCUGG